rnacentral:ncRNA from 3 species
UGAGGUAGUAGAUUGUAUGGUU